rnacentral:rRNA from 1 species
CAUGCAAGUCGAGCGGAUGAAGGGAGCUUGCUCUCUGAUUCAGCGGCGGACGGGUGAGUAAUGCCUAGGAAUCUGCCUGGUAGUGGGGGACAACGUUCCGAAAGGAGCGCUAAUACCGCAUACGUCCUACGGGAGAAAGUGGGGGAUCUUCGGACCUCACGCUAUCAGAUGAGCCUAGGUCGGAUUAGCUAGUAGGUGGGGUAAUGGCUCACCUAGGCGACGAUCCGUAACUGGUCUGAGAGGAUGAUCAGUCACACUGGAACUGAGACACGGUCCAGACUCCUACGGGAGGCAGCAGUGGGGAAUAUUGGACAAUGGGCGAAAGCCUGAUCCAGCCAUGCCGCGUGUGUGAAGAAGGUCUUCGGAUUGUAAAGCACUUUAAGUUGGGAGGAAGGGCAGUAAGUUAAUACCUUGCUGUUUUGACGUUACCAACAGAAUAAGCACCGGCUAACUUCGUGCCAGCAGCCGCGGUAAUACGAAGGGUGCAAGCGUUAAUCGGAAUUACUGGGCGUAAAGCGCGCGUAGGUGGUUUGGUAAGAUGGAUGUGAAAUCCCCGGGCUCAACCUGGGAACUGCAUCCAUAACUGCCUGACUAGAGUACGGUAGAGGGUGGUGGAAUUUCCUGUGUAGCGGUGAAAUGCGUAGAUAUAGGAAGGAACACCAGUGGCGAAGGCGACCACCUGGACUGAUACUGACACUGAGGUGCGAAAGCGUGGG